AUUGAACGCUGGCGGCAGGCCUAACACAUGCAAGUCGAACGGUAACAGGAAGAAGCUUGCUUCUUUGCUGACGAGUGGCGGACGGGUGAGUAAUGUCUGGGAAACUGCCUGAUGGAGGGGGAUAACUACUGGAAACGGCAGCUAAUACCGCAUAACGUCGCAAGACCAAAGAGGGGGACCUUCGGGCCUCUUGCCAUCGGAUGUGCCCAGAUGGGAUUAGCUAGUAGGUGGGGUAACGGCUCACCUAGGCGACGAUCCCUAGCUGGUCUGAGAGGAUGACCAGCCACACUGGAACUGAGACACGGUCCAGACUCCUACGGGAGGCAGCAGUGGGGAAUAUUGCACAAUGGGCGCAAGCCUGAUGCAGCCAUGCCGCGUGUAUGAAGAAGGCCUUCGGGUUGUAAAGUACUUUCAGCGGGGAGGAAGGGAGUAAAGUUAAUACCUUUGCUCAUUGACGUUACCCGCAGAAGAAGCACCGGCUAACUCCGUGCCAGCAGCCGCGGUAAUACGGAGGGUGCAAGCGUUAAUCGGAAUUACUGGGCGUAAAGCGCACGCAGGCGGUUUGUUAAGUCAGAUGUGAAAUCCCCGGGCUCAACCUGGGAACUGCAUCUGAUACUGGCAAGCUUGAGUCUCGUAGAGGGGGGUAGAAUUCCAGGUGUAGCGGUGAAAUGCGUAGAGAUCUGGAGGAAUACCGGUGGCGAAGGCGGCCCCCUGGACGAAGACUGACGCU
rnacentral:rRNA from 1 species